rnacentral:rRNA from 1 species
CCCUUAGAUGUUCUGGGCCGCACGCGCGCUACACUGACGGAGUCAACGAGUUGUCCUGCAUCGGAAGGUGUGGGUAAUCUUUUGAAACUUCGUCGUGCUGGGGAUAGAUCUUUGCAAUUUUCGAUCUUGAACGAGGAAUUCCUAGUAAGCGUGAUUCAUCAGAUCGCGUUGAUUACGUCCCUGCCCUUUGUACACACCGCCCGUCGCUACUACCGAUUGAAUGGUUUAGUGAGGCCUCGGGACUGGCGCGCUCGAGUAGCAAUACACCUGCGCGCCGGGAACUUGGUCAAACUUGAUCAUUUAGAGGAAGUAAAAGUCGUANCA